UUUUCUUUAUAGGUUUUUAAACC
rnacentral:snRNA from 1 species